GCAUUCAUUCGACAGCACAUGUACUAAAAUUGGAACGAUACAGAGAAGAUUAGCAUGACCUCUGCACAAGCAUAACACUUUUGGAUAGGUUGCUCCCUCGAGAUAA